rnacentral:sRNA from 1 species
GCUGGGUGAGGGGGCGCACACCUGUGAUCCCAGCAGCUCCAGAGGCUGAGGCAGGAGGAUCUCGAGUACAAAGCCAGCCUCAGCAACUGAGUGAGGCCCUGAGCAAUUUAGUGAGACCCUGUCUCUA